UGGUGGGUAGUUUGACUGGGGCGGUCUCCUCCUAAAGAGUAACGGAGGAGCACGAAGGUUGGCUAAUCCUGGUCGGACAUCAGGAGGUUAGUGCAAUGGCAUAAGCCAGCUUGACUGCGAGCGUGACGGCGCGAGCAGGUGCGAAAGCAGGUCAUAGUGAUCCGGUGGUUCUGAAUGGAAGGGCCAUCGCUCAACGGAUAAAAGGUACUCCGGGGAUAACAGGCUGAUACCGCCCAAGAGUUCAUAUCGACGGCGGUGUUUGGCACCUCGAUGUCGGCUCAUCACAUCCUGGGGCUGAAGUAGGUCCCAAGGGUAUGGCUGUUCGCCAUUUAAAGUGGUACGCGAGCUGGGUUUAGAACGUCGUGAGACAGUUCGGUCCCUAUCUGCCGUGGGCGCUGGAGAAUUGAGGGGGGCUGCUCCUAGUACGAGAGGACCGGAGUGGACGCAUCACUGGUGUUCGGGUUGUCAUGCCAAUGGCACUGCCCGGUA
rnacentral:rRNA from 1 species